GAUGAACGCUGGCGGCGUGCUUAACACAUGCAAGUCGAACGAAGCACUUUUUUAAGCUUGCUUUUAAAAGUGACUGAGUGGCGGACGGGUGAGUAACGCGUGGGUAACCUACCUCACACAGGGGGAUAACAGUUAGAAAUGACUGCUAAUACCGCAUAAAAUGGCAGUUUCGCAUGAAACAACCAUCAAAGAUUUAUCGGUGUGAGAUGGACCCGCGUCUGAUUAGCUAGUUGGUAAGGUAACGGCUUACCAAGGCGACGAUCAGUAGCCGACCUGAGAGGGUGACCGGCCACAUUGGGACUGAGACACGGCCCAAACUCCUACGGGAGGCAGCAGUGGGGAAUAUUGGACAAUGGGCGCAAGCCUGAUCCAGCGACGCCGCGUGAGCGAUGAAGUAUUUCGGUAUGUAAAGCUCUAUCAGCAGGGAAGAUAAUGACGGUACCUGACUAAGAAGCACCGGCUAAAUACGUGCCAGCCGCCGCAGUAAAAC
rnacentral:rRNA from 1 species